rnacentral:rRNA from 1 species
GACGAACGCUGGCGGCGUGCCUAAUACAUGCAAGUCGAACGCUGAAGGAGGAUCUUGCUUCUCUGGAUGAGUUGCGAACGGGUGAGUAACGCGUAGGUAACCUGCCUGGUAGCGGGGGAUAACUGUUGGAAACGAUAGCUAAUACCGCAUAAUAGUAGAUGUCGCAUGACAUUUGCUUAAAAGGUGCAAUUGCAUCACUACCAGAUGGACCUGCGUUGUAUUAGCUGGUUGGUGAGGUAACGGCUCACCAAGGCAACGAUACAUAGCCGACCUGAGAGGGUGAUCGGCCACACUGGGACGGAGACACGGCCCAGACUACUACGGGAGGCAGCAGAAGGGAAUCUGCGGCAAUGGACGGAAGUCUGACCGAGCAACGCCGCGUGAGUGAAGAAGGUUUUCGGAUCGGAAAGCUCUGUUGUAAGAGAAGAACGAGUGUGAGAGUGGAAAGUUCACACUGUGACGGUAUCUGACCAGAAAGGGACGGCUAACUACGUG